rnacentral:rRNA from 1 species
UACGUAGGAUGCAAGCGUUGUCCGGAAUUAUUGGGCGUAAAGAGAACGUAGGCGGCGAGUUAAGUUUGGUCUUAAAGACCGGGGCUCAACCCCCGGGAAUGGACCGAAAACUGAUUGGCUAGAGGACGUCAGAGGAAAGUGGAAUUCCGAGUGUAGCGGUGAAAUGCGUAGAUAUUCGGAGGAACACCAGUGGCGAAAGCGACUUUCUGGGACGUUCCUGACGCUGAGGUUCGAAAGCUCGGGGAGCAAACAGGG